rnacentral:rRNA from 1 species
AAACUGAAGAGUUUGAUCAUGGCUCAGAUUGAACGCUGGCGGCAGGCUUAACACAUGCAAGUCGAGCGGUAACAGGGGGUGCUUGCACCCCGCUGACGAGCGGCGGACGGGUGAGUAAUGCAUAGGAAACUGCCCAGUAGUGGGGGAUAGCCCGGGGAAACCCGGAUUAAUACCGCGUACGCCCUUCGGGGGAAAGCAGGGGAUCUUCGGACCUUGCGCUAUUGGAUGUGCCUAUGUCGGAUUAGCUAGUUGGUGGGGUAAAGGCCUACCAAGGCGACGAUCCGUAGCUGGUCUGAGAGGAUGAUCAGCCACAUCGGGACUGAGAUACGGCCUGCCCAACCCCACGGAGGCAGCAGGGGGAAUAUUGAUGUCGGGGGCAACCUGAUCCAGCCAUGCCGUGCGUGUAAGAAGGCUGGGUUGUAAAGCACUUCAGAGGAGGUGUUACGUUAAUACCGCCAGCCCUUGACGUUACCUGGCAGAAGAAGCACCGGCUAACUCCGUACCACGCAGCCGCGGUAUUACGGUGAGGGCUGCAAGCGCGUGGUCAGGAAUUACGCUACACUGGGCGCAAAGCAGCGCACGUAGGCGGCUUUCCGAUCAGUCGAGGGUGUGAAGGCCCCGGGCUUCGAACCCGGGAAAACUGCAUUGAUACCGCCGCCGAUCCAGAGGCAUCGGGAGAGGGCCGUGCUGGAAUUUCAAGUGUAGAGGUGAAAUUCGUGCAGAUGGAGAAGGCAAGGAAACACUCAGUGGCGAAGGCGGCACUUACAACUGGGCACAUAUUGACGCUGAUGUGUGCGAAAGCGUGGGGGAGCAGAACAAGGAUUAGAUACCCUGGUAGUCCACGCCGUCCAAACAUACCUGAGUGCUAGUUGUCAGGGAGUUCCGGCUUUCGGUGGGUGCAAGCUAACGCGUUAAGCAGAUCCGCCUGGGGAGUAUUAACUGGCAGGUUAAAGCUCAAAUGAGAUUGACGGGGCCCGCACAAGCGGUGGAGCAUGUGGUGGUUUAAUUCAGAAGCAACGCGAAGAACCUUACCUGGCCUUGACAUGCAGAGAACUUUCCAGAGAUGGAUUGGUGCCUUCGGGAACUCUGACGCGGGAUACGUAAGCGCGUAUGACCGUGGUAAGCUCUGUGUCGGUGAGAUGUUGGGUUAAGUCCCGUAACGAGCGCAACCCCUAUCCCUAGUUGCUAGCAGUUCGGCUGAGAACUCUAGGGAGACUGCCGGUGACAAACCGGAGGAAGGUGGGGAUGACGUCAGGUCAUCAUGGCCCUUACGGCCGGGGCUACACGAUGCUACAAUGGCGCGCGCAGAGGCUGCAGACACCCACGAGGGGGCCAAUCUCUGCUAACGCGUCGUGGUCGGAUCCGCGAUGCAACUCGACUGCGUGAAGUCGGAAUCGCUAGUAAUCGUGAAUCAGAAUGUCACGGUGAAUACUGACAUGCACACACCGCCCGUCACACCAUGGGAGUGGAUUGCACCAGAAGUGGUUAGUCUAACCUUCGGGAGGACGAUCACCACGGUGUGGUUCAUGACUGGGGUGAAGUCGUAACAAGGUAGCCGUAGGGGAACCUGCGGCUGGAUCACCUCCUUAAA